AGGUGCAUUACUGGGCAAUGGCUUCUUUGGCAGUUCAUAAUUCAUCUGCUUCAAUGAUGAAGCAGAAAACCUAUCUUCACCGCCAAAGAAGAUUUGCCCGGCAACUCACCC
rnacentral:pre_miRNA from 1 species